GGAGGGCAGCAAGGAUGAUGGGAGACCCGGAGGAUGCCUAAGGUCGAGAAGGAUGCUAGAGGAGGCUGGAGCUCUCGGGGAAGAAGGGAUCGAAGGACUCUCUCAGGCUGGGUGAAACCCCAAAGGGGGAAGACGUGUUUAAAUAGGCAACAGGACCUGGAGCAGUUAUGAUCGUGGAUCUCCUCUGAUCGGCCUGUACCUGCCGCAUGUCCCACUCACUUUGACAGGCUGUUGAAAAUGGCUAGUAGCUGACAAAAUAAUUAUUGCACC
rnacentral:lncRNA from 1 species